rnacentral:rRNA from 1 species
AUCAUUAACGAGUUAGGGUCCCUCGUGGCCCGACCUCCCAACCCUUUGUCUACCUGACCACUGUUGCUUCGGCGAGCCCGUCUGUAAUGGACCGCCGGGGGGUACCUUGAUCGGCCCUCUGGUCCGCGCUCGUCGAUAGCCAAACUUUUAAAAUCUUAACCAAACGUGUCUCAAUCUAAGUAUUAUUUGUUAAAUAAAAGCAAAACUUUCAACAACGGAUCUCUUGGUUCUGGCAUCGAUGAAGAACGCAGCGAAAUGCGAUAAGUAAUGCGAAUUGCAGAAUUUCAGUGAGUCAUCGAAUCUUUGAACGCACAUUGCGCCCUUUGGUAUUCCGAAGGGCAUGCCUGUUCGAGCGUCAUUAUCACCCCUCAAGCCCCCGGCUUGGUGUUGGACGGUUUGGUGGAGGCCCCCUCGCGGGGCCACCGCCCCUCCCAAAGACAAUGACGGCGGCCUCGUUGGACCCCCGGUACACUGAGUUCUUCACGGGACACGUAUCGGACACAUGGGUUUACGGGACACGGUC